rnacentral:rRNA from 1 species
UACGGGGGGAGCAAGCGUUGUUCGGAUUUACUGGGCGUAAAGGGCGCGUAGGCGGUCAGCACAAGUCAGUUGUGAAAUCUCCGGGCUUAACUCGGAAAGGUCAACUGAUACUGUGCGACUAGAGUGCAGAAGGGGCAACUGGAAUUCUCGGUGUAGCGGUGAAAUGCGUAGAUAUCUGGAGGAAUACCGGUGGCGAAGGCGGCAUCCUGGACCGACAUUGACGCUGAGGAGCGAAAGCUAGGGGAGCAAACGGG